rnacentral:lncRNA from 1 species
ACGUAGUAUAUCGAAGUCAUCCCUUUCAUAUCCCAUAUAAUAUCCAAUGGAAAUUAUCGUUAAAUGUUAUUGGUCGACAGGAGGAAGAGAACGAGAGAAAUUCAGGAAUAUGGGGAUUGACGAAUAACAGAGCCUUUAGCGAUCGAUAGUUUGCGCGCAAGCGACCAACAACCAGAGGAACAAACAAACACACACACAAAAGGUGGCAGGGGUCAAGGAAGGGAGGACUGAUGGUGGUAAGGUCGUGCGACUGACAAUCGUUCAUUUGACUAUCGUAUAGACGGUUUUUCAAGAUCACGUUGCUUUUUUUGUCACGUUACACCUUACACCUUACACCUUACACCUUCCACCUUACACCUUUUCUUAUUCCUAAUCGUAACAAUUCUAGAAUAAUAAUGCCGAUUAUAUUCCGAUGGCUUUUGUAAACAAAUUGCGAAUGUGAAAGAAUGAAUGUAUAAGAAAAAAUAUAUAAAAAGAAAAAGAAAUCUUGAAUAAUCGCAUUGUUUCAUGGGAAUGUAAAAGUUAAUAAAUUAAUUGAUUACCUAACGAUUUUUCCUGACAUAAA